CUGCUUGCCUUUCUCCAGGUUAUGCCCAUCAGUCUUGCCCUGGCAUCCUUCCCAGGGGUGGGUGACUUGGCCUAAAAGAACAUUCUGACAUUCCUGUCAGAAUGUUCUAGAAAGCUGAGAGGUGUGUGUGAAACCAAGAAAGUGACAUCACCCUGCUGCUUCCCAGUACCAGGCUGUGGCAUCAGCUCUUACCGGCUAGCAUCUGAGAGAUGCAUAGUCACUACUGUUGGCUGCUUCCAGGGCCCAAGUUGAUGUCUUGUUUUUCUCUGUUUCUCUUCUCAAAACUCUCCCUGGUUCAUACACAUUGUUCCCAAAUCCCAGACACUAGCUUUCUUAGACUUUUCCAAAGAGUAGGAGGAGGGUAACUGGCAAUGCUCAAAGCCCAGGCCCCUCCACGCAGUAUUAGGCUCCUUUGUGCCCUCUCCUCUGGAGCUGCCCCAGCCACCCUCUUCCAAGGACAAAGUGACACAGUUUCAGAGUUGGUGUUUGGAAACUGUCCAGGCCAACUAGUUCUACGCAGCUCAUUUUCCUCAGAAAAGGAAUGUGUCUGAGGAGAGGUGAGUGGAAGCUUCAAAACCACACAGAGGUGCCCUGUCCUGCCUUGGGGUCACAGGGCUGUGCCCACAGUAUGGUGAUGUUACCGCUGUUGACCAGUGACGAGUUCUUGCUUCCCCUGAUGCUGAAGAAUAACACCAAAGAAGCACGCCGAGGAAAGUUCUCGGCGGACACAACAUCUUUGUUGGUAUGUGGUGCUGAGGAUCGAACCCGGGCCGCACGCAUGCCAGGGUACUUACAGGCUGAAGAGGGACCAGAACACCUGGAGGAAGACAUGUGAGGGUGGAUGUUUAACAUGUGUGACGUGAGGACUCAGCUGUCAUUAGCCUUGAGAGCUAAUGAGAAAGGGGCCAGCACCCAAGAAAUACAGUGGCCCCAGCAGCUGGCCAAGACCGUUUUCUGGAGCCUCGGGAGUCAGUCCAGUCCCUCGUGACCAUGCUGAAUUUCUCACCUGCAGAACUGCGAUCCUGGAUGUCCUGGUGUAAGCCAUUAAGACUGUGGUGACUGUUCACAGAAGUGACAGGAAACUGACACUGGGGGUGGGACACAGCAGGUCUGGGGUCAUACACCAUGUUACCACUGGCCUGGGCUGCUCCUGUGGCCCUCUUCUCCCUCCCAACCUCCCACAGAACUGAAAUGUGGAAGAGUUGACCCCUGCUGCCCGCCCACCCAUGCCAGCACUAAAGUGCCCGACAAUCCUUCGAGGUGGGCACUGUUAUUAUUAUUUCCAACUGAAAAUCCAAGAAACAGUCCCAACUCGGA